GAUUUAAUAUUAAUUUUUACAUGUAGCAAACCAGCCAGUCGCUGAGAAGUCACAGCAGUAAUCACGGACAUCGAAAUCGGAAUAAAGGAUUAAAUUCAUGUUGAUUAUAAAGUUUUCCGGUUGUCUCAAGAUAAUAAAAACAAAACGUAUUUUGAAGAAAGAAUUAAAGGAUAGACUAUGAGGAGAAAAAUGAGAGAUACAUGAUAGAUGUAUUACAAUAAGAGAGUAGUACAAGGAAAAUAUAUUGUAAUGAGUAUAAUGAGAAAAAUAAUAAAAUAAAAACCUCAUUGAGUAUAUGCGGUUCCAAUCAUUUGCUUUGUCUAUCAUCGGUGUUGUCACGUUGUGAGGUGGUGGUGGACCCCAAAAAACAGGCAGGAUGGAGGAACAGGGUGUACUUGAAGAAGUGUAUUGAUAAAACACAGAAAACUAAAUCCAAAACAAAGUCCUAAGAACAAAACGAAUCCAAAGUAGCAAACAAAAACCAUGACUGAAGCAAAAAAAAUGAUCAAUAAUAGAAACAUGACCAAAAACAUGACCUAAACAUGACAAACAUACACAACGGCAACAAAUAAACAAACAAUGACCCGACACUGAGUGGUUGUGUUGGGAGAUCCUUUCAAAGCAAUAAUUACAUAACGACAAACAGGUGCGCAGCCGCAGGGAGAGCCCUCCAGUGCCACCUGUUGGUCAUAAACAGAAUCAUGACAGGUGUGCCUUUCACAGAUUGAUCAGGUCUCUAAAACGCUCCCGAGGUUCACCUUGCCUAAUUAGAAGUCUAAUUUGUUAGUCUUAAUCGACGAUAUUAUCGUUAUCAGUUAUUUUAUUUUGCAAUAGGAGAGAACACUUUUUAUCUUGUGGUUCAUGCAUCCUUACCAAUCUGUGACGGCUUCGUUCGAGCUCGUUCUUAUUAGAGUCGUUAUAUAAAU